GACGAACGCUGGCGGCGCGCUUAACACAUGCAAGUCGAGCGAGAACCGGCCCUUCGGGGCCGGGGAAAGCGGCGAACGGGUGAGUAACUCGUGGGUAAUCUGCCCUUGGUACCGGGAUAGCCCGGGGAAACCCGGAUUAAUACCGGAUGGCCCUUUGAAUUCGCGGAUUCAAAGGAAAAGGUAGCUUCGGCCUCCGACCAAGGAUGAGCCGGCGGCGGAUUAGCUUGUUGGUGGGGUAACGGCCUACCAAGGCGACGAUCCGUAGCUGGUCUGAGAGGCCGAUCAGCCACACUGGGGCUGAGACACGGCCCAGACUCCUACGGGAGGCAGCAGUGGGGAAUCUUGCGCAAUGGGCGAAAGCCUGACGCAGCGACGCCGCGUGAGGGAAGAAGGCCUUCGGGCUGUAAACCUCUUUCAGGAGGGACGAAGCCACUCGGGUUAAUAGCCCAGAGGGUGACGGUACCUCCAGAAGAAGCCCCGGCUAACUACGUGCCAGCCGCCGCGGUAAAAC
rnacentral:rRNA from 1 species